AGAUUGAACGCUGGCGGCAUGCCUUACACAUGCAAGUCGAACGGUAGAGUAGCAAUACUCGAGAGUGGCGAACGGGUGAGUAAUAUAUCGGAACGUGCCCAGUCGUGGGGGAUAACGUAGAGAAAUUUACGCUAAUACCGCAUACGAUCUAAGGAUGAAAGCGGGGGAUCGCAAGACCUCGCGCGAUUGGAGCGGCUGAUAUCAGAUUUAGGUGUUGGUGAGGUAAAAGCUCACCAAGCCGACGAUCUGUAGCUGGUUUGAGAGAACGACCAGCCACACUGGGACUGAGACACGGCCCAGACUCCUACGGGAGGCAGCAGUGGGGAAUUUUGGACAAGUGGGACGAAAGGCCUGAAUCCGAGCAAGUCGCCGUCGUGCAAGGGAAGAACGGGUCCUUACGGGUUAGUAAACUGUCCUUUUUAGGUAACGGAACGAAAACGGUCUACUUUUACGUAAAUAAACGGAGGUCCCAAGUUCGAACCGGUACCGUAAGAAUAAA
rnacentral:rRNA from 1 species